GUGUUUGUAGCUCAGCAGGAUAGAGCGUCCGCCUCCUAAGCGGAAGGUCGUGGGUUCGAAUCCCGCCAGACACG
rnacentral:tRNA from 2 species